rnacentral:miRNA from 1 species
CGUGUGUGUGUGUGUGUGUGUGUGUGUGUGUGAGAGAGAGAGAGAGAGAGAGAGAGAGAGAAAACAUGUACAUAUAGGAUGCAGAUAUAUAGAUACAGAUAUGUAUAUAGAUAUAGAUCACACACACACACACACACACACACACACACACACA